AUGAGAGAAAAGGAGAAAAUAGAGGUAACACUGGCAGCUUUACAGCAAAGAGUUUGCCCAUAUUGUUUCCUCUGCUUCCAACACCCCUCCCAUCAUUCACCACUUGGCCAACUCUCAAGCAUCCUCGGGGACGAAGCUCAGGUCCAGCCUUUAAGAAAGUCUUCUCGGACUCAAGAUGGUGCUGUGAGAACAACCCAGGAUUGGAGCUCCCGUUGAAUCCGCAAACGGUGAGUCUGAGCUGCAUUUACAGACUGAUCUUUGUUGCCCACAGAACGAGGAAACUCCCAAGUAUAAAAAAGACACGGGACGCCAGGCAGUAGGUCUGCCUGGCGAAGCCGGCAGCCGGGGCUGCGGCGGCCGGCCCUACCCAGCAAUCCCCACAGGGCGCGCUUGUCCGGGUGCCUUGUUGAACCGGCAACCUGAGACUUGAGAGGGCUGGACUUGAGACUGAACGAGACUUGGACAGAAGCCCAGCCCAGGGGAUUGUAGGGACAGAUCGUUUGGGAUACCCAGUGGAACGAACAAAACCGCGAUUUCAAACUAUCCCGAGCAGACGGCCCUAGACGCUCUGUGGGGGAGGGGCGUCCACCACUACCGAGGCAACCCGCCCCAACUGAGAUACACGCCCACUGCUGACGCAGCCAGCCGUUGCCGAGGCAACCCGCCCCAACUGAGAUACACGCCCACUGCUGACGCAGCCAGCCGUUGCCAAGGCAACCCACCCCAACUGAGAAACACACCCACUGCUGACGCAGCCAGCCGUUGCCGAGGCAACCCGUCCCUACUGAGAUACACGCCCACUGCUGACACAGCCUGCCGUUGCUGAGGCAACACGCUACAACGAAGAGACUCCGCCGCAGGGCGUGGCGGAGACCACAGCAGAGCCUGUAGGAACAGGGCGAAUCACACAACAGCAGGGCGGAGCCUCGGCAGCCAAACAGUGGCUAGUCUGCCUUCUAGCUGGGCAGGACACCUCAUCGAACAUCCAAAAAUAAAGCCCAAACCCCUCAACACAGAGCAUUUGAGGGAAAAAAAUUAAAAAAGGUUUUUUAAUGAGCUCUGUUGCAGCAGAAUCAAACAUAGCAGCCUAACAGCCCUGAAGGAACAAGAGAGCGCACAGCUCAGCAAUUAAACCUCUAUAAAGUACAAACUGUCUCCUCAAGCAGCUCCCUGACCCCUCUAUAUCCAAAAGACUGACAUUAGGCAGGCAUCAUCCUGGGACAAAGAGAGCAGAAAAAGAAACUGGUAGCAUCCCUCGCUGUGCCACAGCUGCUAGAGGUGCACCCCAGACAAGCAGGGUCUGGAGCGGACCUCAGCAGUCGUACAGUGAAGGGGCUAGACUGGUAGAAGAAAAAUCAAGCAACAGAAAUACUUCAUUAUCAACAUUCUGGGUGUCCACUCAGAGACCCAAUCGAAAAGUCAGCAACUACACAGACGACCAGCGGAAAAAUCCACAAAGAUGGGAAGAAACCAGAGCAAAAAGGAGGAAAACACCCGAAACCAGAACACCUAGCCUCCAAGAAAGGACCAAAACUCCUCACCAGAAAGGGAACAAAGCUGGA
rnacentral:lncRNA from 1 species